AACUUUCGAAUGGUAGAAUGCUCUUGUCUACGAACUUGUAGCAUUAUGAUUAACCAAUUUGUAUAGGAAGAUCUGAUGC